rnacentral:rRNA from 1 species
GCUAGCCUACGGGACGCAGCAGUGGGGAAUAUUGCACAAUGGGGGAAACCCUGAUGCAGCGACACCGCGUGAAGGAAGAAGUAUUUCGGUAUGUAAACUUCUAUCAGCAGGGAAGAAAAUGACGCUACCUGACUAAGAAGCCCCGGCUAACUACGUGCCAGCAGCCGCGGUAAUACGUAGGGGGCAAGCGUUAUCCGGAUUUACUGGGUGUAAAGGGUGCGUAGGCGGUUCAGCAAGUCAGAAGUGAAAGCCCGGGGCUCAACUCCGGGACUGCUUUUGAAACUGUUGAACUAGAUUGCAGGAGG